rnacentral:rRNA from 1 species
GACGAACGCUGGCGGCGUGCUUAACACAUGCAAGUCGAACGGAAAGGCCCUGCUUUUGUGGGGUGCUCGAGUGGCGAACGGGUGAGUAACACGUGAGUAACCUGCCCUUGACUUUGGGAUAACUUCAGGAAACUGGGGCUAAUACCGGAUAGGAGCUCCUGCUGCAUGGUGGGGGUUGGAAAGUUUCGGCGGUUGGGGAUGGACUCGCGGCUUAGCAGCUUGUUGGUGGGGUAGUGGCUUACCAAGGCUUUGACGGGUAGCCGGCCUGAGAGGGUGACCGGCCACAUUGGGACUGCGAUACGGCCCCGACUCCUACGGGAGGCAGCAGUGGGGAAUAUUGCACAAUGGGCGGACGCCUGAUGCAGCAACGCCGCGUGCGGGAUGACGGCCUUCGGGUUGUAAACCGCUUUCGCCUGUGACGAAGCGUGAGUGACGGUAAUGGGUAAAGAAGCACCGGCUAACUACGUG